rnacentral:lncRNA from 1 species
AGCAAUGGACGAUACAGUCUAAAUGAAGUAAGAGAAAAAAGAAACAAGAUGCAUAACAGUUGCAGCAGCUGCUGGUGUUGCUGAGCGACUUGACGGAACUGAGGAGCCAGAAGUUCCCGGCACCUCAUCUUGGUCCUGGAGAUUUCUGUUUCCAGUGCACAACAGUUAUUAAAUGAAUAAACCUAUAAUUAUUUGACGGCCUAA